AACGCUGGCGGCGUGCCUAAUACAUGCAAGUCGAACGAAGCUUUCUUUCACCGAAUGCUUGCAUUCACCGAAAGAAGCUUAGUGGCGAACGGGUGAGUAACACGUAGGCAACCUGCCCAAAAGAGGGGGAUAACACUUGGAAACAGGUGCUAAUACCGCAUAACCAUGAACACCGCAUGAUGUUCAUGUAAAAGACGGCUUUUGCUGUCACUUUUGGAUGGGCCUGCGGCGUAUUAACUUGUUGGUGGGGUAACGGCCUACCAAGGUGAUGAUACGUAGCCGAACUGAGAGGUUGAUCGGCCACAUUGGGACUGAGACACGGCCCAAACUCCUACGGGAGGCAGCAGUAGGGAAUCUUCCACAAUGGACGAAAGUCUGAUGGAGCAACGCCGCGUGAAUGAAGAAGGCCUUCGGGUCGUAAAAUUCUGUUGUCAGAGAAGAACGUGCGUGAGAGUAACUGUUCACGUAUUGACGGUAUCUGACCAGAAAGCCACGGCUAACUACGUGCCAGCAGCCGCGGUAAUACGUAGGUGGCGAGCGUUGUCCGGAUUUAUUGGGCGUAAAGGGAACGCAGGCGGUCUUUUAAGUCUGAUGUGAAAGCCUUCGGCUUAACCGAAGUAGUGCAUUGGAAACUGGAAGACUUGAGUGCAGAAGAGGAGAGUGGAACUCCAUGUGUAGCGGUGAAAUGCGUAGAUAUAUGGAAGAACACCAGUGGCGAAAGCGGCUCUCUGGUCUGUAACUGACGCUGAGGUUCGAAAGCGUGGGUAGCAAACAGGAUUAGAUACCCUGGUAGUCCACGCCGUAAACGAUGAGUGCUAAGUGUUGGAGGGUUUCCGCCCUUCAGUGCUGCAGCUAACGCAUUAAGCACUCCGCCUGGGGAGUACGGUCGCAAGACUGAAACUCAAAGGAAUUGACGGGGGCCCGCACAAGCGGUGGAGCAUGUGGUUUAAUUCGAAGCAACGCGAAGAACCUUACCAGGUCUUGACAUCUUCUGACAAUUCCAGAGAUGGAACGUUCCCUUCGGGGACAGAAUGACAGGUGGUGCAUGGUUGUCGUCAGCUCGU
rnacentral:rRNA from 1 species